rnacentral:rRNA from 1 species
CAGCCGCCGCGGUAAUACGAGGGGGGCAAGCGUUGUUCGGAAUUAUUGGGCGUAAAGGGUGCGUAGGCGGUUUGAUAAGUCUUGUGUGAAAUCUCUGGGCUCAACCCAGAGUCUGCACAGGAAACUGUCGGGCUUGAGAGUGGGAGAGGUGAGUGGAAUUUCCGGUGUAGCGGUGAAAUGCGUAGAUAUCGGAAGGAACACCUGUGGCGAAAGCGGCUCACUGGACCAUUUCUGACGCUGAUGCACGAAAGCUAGGGGAGCAAACAGGAUUAGAUACCCCCGUAGUCCCUGUCUCUUAUAC